UGUGUUUUCACAGCCUGAGCCCCCCCCCCACAACGAGGCAGUCACUGCACAUUAGGCCGAAACUCUCGCUGCAAGUCCGGAUUUGCAGUGUGGAAAAUGACGCCAUUGUCUCUGCCUGUAAGACGUACUAUGACGUACUAAGACGUACUAUGAGCCAGUAAGGAACUUCCGGUACAUCCAACUGGACCUCGCAGCUCUUGCAGCAGCAUUGAAAAGUUCAGGAGUCGACAGAGAAGAAAGAGGCUGAUUGAAGCGGGACAGAUGACAUGGAUCCAUCCUUCCACAGCCAGGAGCUCACCG